AAAAAGUUUUAAUAAAGCAAAUGGUGGAUGCCUUGGUCGCUAAAGCCGAAGAAGGACGCGGAAGACGGCGAUAUGCGUUGGGGAGCUGUCAACAAGCUUAGAUCCAGCGAUUUCCGAAUAGGGAAACCUAGCAUUGCGGAAGCAGUGUUGCCCAUUGUUAAACAAUGGGGGGUAAGCCGGGGAACUGAAACAUCUUAGUACCCGGAGGAAAAUAAAUCGAAAUUCAUUUUAAAUGAACUCUGAUAAAUUUAUCAGAGGAGAUUCCGUGAGUAGCGGUGAGCGAAACCGGAAAAGUCCAAACCCCGAUUUAUCGGGGGGUUGUAGGAUAUGGCAUAAAAAAAUACGAAAGAUAGAAAAACAUUGUGGAAUAGAUGACCAAAGAAGGUGAAAGUCCUGUAUUUUAAAUUUAGUAGUAUUUUUGUUGUAUUCCUGAGUACCACGGGACACGCGAAAUGCCGUGGGAAUCUGGGGGGACCAACCUCCAAGACUAAAUACUUUAGCGGACCGAUAGUGAACUAGUACCGUAAGGGAAAGGUGAAAAAUACCCAUAGUAUGGGGGUGAAAUAGAUCUGAAACCAUUUGCUAACAAACAGAGAAAGUCCCGCCUUGGCGGGAUGAUCUCGUGCCUAUUGAAGAAUGAGCCUGCGAGUAUUUUUAAUUGCCGAGUUUAACCCCGCUAAGCGGGGGUAGGCGUAGCGAAAGCGAGUCUGAAUAAGGCGUUAGGUGAUUAUAGAUGACCCGAAACCGGUUGAGCUAACCAUGAGCAGGGUGAAUGUCGACGAAAGUCGCCAGGAGGCCCGUACCAGUUAGAGCUGCAAAUCUAUUGGAUGACUUGUGGUUAGAGGUAAUAUGCCAAUCGAAACCGGAAAUAGCUGGUUCUCUCCGAAAUAUAUUUAGGUAUAGCGUCUAGUGUUUAAAAGUGGGGGUAGAGCUACUGGAUGAAUGUUUAGGGAGUAAUCUCUGGCAUUUAACCAAACUCCGAAUACCGCUUUUUAUAAGCUAGGCAGUCAGUCCAGCCGGGCUAAGCUGGUUGGGCGAAAGGGAAAGACCCCAGACUCUCAUCUAAGGUCUCUAAAUUUUUGUUAAGUGGGAAAGGAAGUGAUUUGCCUAAGACAGUCAGGAGGUUGGCUUAGAAGCAGCCAUCCUUUAAAGAAAGCGUAAUAGCUCACUGAUCGACCCUGAUUUAUCGGGGCUGGCAAAUUGCGCCGAAAAUGUAACGAGGCUAAAACAAAAUACCGAAGAUGGAGAACUCGUCCUUUGGACGAAAAUUUUUAAUUUUUAAUUUUUAAUUUUUAAAUAACGUUUAAGUUUUAAUGCUUAAGAUUUAUUUAGAUUUUGGAGAUUUAGAUUUAGAAAUUCUCGUCUAGGGGGCGAGUUGGUAGGAGAGCGUUCUGAUGGCGGUGAAGGUUAAGGUGUAAACCAGACUGGAGCUGUCAGAAGUGAGAAUGCAGGCAUGAGUAACGUAAUACCGAUGAGAAUUCGGUACGCCGAAUACCUAAGGUUUCCUCAGCUACGUUGUUCGACUGAGGGUUAGGCGAUCCUAACAUGAGUUCACUGUAGUGGUGGAGUAAUGGAUGGAUAACCGGUUAAUAUUCCGGUCCUUUUUAUUGUUCGUUUUAAGUUGGGGCAUGACGAUGUGUAGAAAAUUUGGCAGUUAAGUGAUUGACUGUUUAAGUGUUUAGCUAGAAGAGGUUGGUAAAUCCGCCUUUUCGUUUUAAGGCGAGACAUGAAUAAAAAUAUGACGAAAGUUGUGUAAUUAAAUUGAAUCUAUAUAUCCGAGAAAAGUGUCGCAAAUAGAAUAGUAAAAAUUCGUACUAAAACCGACACUGGUAGGUAGGUCGAGUAGACCAAGGCGUUUGGGAGAAAGAUGGUUAAGGAACUAGGCAAAAAAUCUGGGCGUAAGUUCUGCGAGAUGCCCUUCUCAAUGUAAGAAUUGAGAUACAACAAAAGAGUGCACGGCGACUGUUUAUCAAAAACACAGGUCUCUGCAAACCCGCAAGGGGAAGUAUAGGGGCUGAAGCCUGACCGGUGCCAGAAGGUUAAAUGAGCGGGUGGUUUCGGAUUUAUUCGAGAUUGCUUGUGAUUGAAGCCCUGGUGAACGUCAGCAGUAACUCUAACUGUCAACUUUAUGGGCAGUUAUAAAAUCUGGCCAUAUGCUGGAAUAUCCGUCCUGAAAAAGGAAUAGUAUCUUGCACUACUAGAAUUAAAUUUUAGUGAAAAUGUGACAAGUGCGGACAAUCAGCAGGAAAGACUUAUAUGUAUGUGUUAAAGUAAAUUAAUGAAGAUACCUAAAAGAUAUACUCAACCUUUUUUUGAUGGUUUAGAUUUGGCAAGUAAAGGUAAAAUUAGGACCAUAAAAGAGUUGGAUAGAAUGGUAUGGAUUAUGGCUUUGGCAAUUAAAGAAGGUUUGGGAAAAAGAAAAAAAGAAUCAAAAAGAAUUCCUAAAUUUUUGAAAUGGUAUUUAGAUUUAGAUAAUCCAAAACAUUUGAUAUAAGAAUCCUCAGAGACUAUACGCCAGACUCCAAUAUGUAGGAGAUGAUAUAGUCCGAACUAUAUGGCGACAUAUAGAGAGUGAAUUUUUCGCUAGAAUUCACGAUUAACAAAAAGUCUAAGGUAGCGAAGUCCUUUGUCGUGUAAGUUACGACCCGUAUGAAAGGCUUAACGACCGUGCAACUGUCUUAACCAUUUACCCAGUGAAAUUGAAAGAGCGGUGAAGAUGCCGUUUAAUUACUGUAGGACAAAAAGACCCCGUGAAGCUUUACUGGAUCUUUACAUUGAUAAGAAAACAAUAAUUGUCGAGAAUAGGAGGGAGGUUCGAUUAUUCGAACCAUCAGUGGAAUACCUCUCUUUGUUGUUUUUAAGUCUUAUUUACUCUAAUGAAUCUUAGAGGAAGACAGUGUAUGGUUGCCAGUUUGCCUGGGGCAGGCACCUGCUAAAAGGUAACGCAGGUAUACAAAGGUUGGUUUGAUCCGGCUGGAAAUCGGAUUGAAAGUAUAAAAGCAAAAACCAGCUUGACUGUGAGACUUACAAGUCGAAUUCUGAUAAUUUUUUUGGAAUUUCAACACAUUUGAUGGUUGAAACAGGGUCGAAAGACGGUUUUAGUGAUCCUCGUGACUCAUUUGGUAUGAGCACGGGCUUACUGGAUAAAAGCUACUCCGGGGAUAACAGGCUAGUCGCAUCCGAUAGUCCAUAUUGACGAUGCGGUUCGGCACCUUAACCAAUUAAGGGAAAAUCGGGGUGGGCGGAAGUAAUUCCGUUAGCACUGUUAUUUUGGUCUUUUUGAAAUUUUUUUAAUAAGUUUUUUUAUUUAAUUUAAAAAUAACUUUACUAGCUCAUAACGGUGGACGCAAAUAUGCCAAUACCGUGGGAAGUCUAAUAAAGAAGAGUCUGUAUUUUUUAAAUUUUUUAUUAUGACCCCGUAACGACUUGUUUCUGAUGUUUUAUAUAUUGCACAUCAGAACGGAGUUAUGCUGACGGAAUGUCAGAUAGCUAAUACGCUAGCUCCUACUCGUUUAGUUUAGACAAUUAAAUGACAAGAGGAUGAAGGUAUAGUCUAAAAUAUUGCCUAUUUUAAGGUAAAUUAGCGAUGUCGACUUGGCGCAUCCUGGCCGCGAAGAAACGGCCAAGGGUUGGUCUGUUCGCCCAUUAAAGCGCUGCGUUAGUUGGGUUCAGAGCGUCGUGAGACAGCUCGGUCUCUAUCCACAGUAAUCGUUCGAUUCUUGAAGGGAUUCGUCUACAGUACGAGAGGACCUAGACGAGGGAAUCUCUGGUGUGCCAGUUGUUCUGUCAAGAGCACUGCUGGGUAGCCACAUUCCUAUAAGAUAACUGCUGAAAGCAUCUCAAGCAGGAAGCUGACCCUAAGAUAAGGAAUCGUUGUCCGAUUUAUCGGACGGAAGAUUGCCGGAAGACUACCGGUUAAUGCUUUGUGUGUGUAAUUAUAGUAAUAUAUUAAGCUAAACAAAGAAUAAAUCGAAUAAACUUUUUUU
rnacentral:rRNA from 1 species